GGGCAAGAUCAGUCGUAGCUAGGUUCGCUGUCCAGAUGCUACAACUAAGUUUACUCGUUGACCGUUGGCUACAAAGUUGGUUUAUUCAUUUACGGAGAUUCAUUCAAUUUUCUUAGGUCACAGAUACCCAGGACAAUUCUUUAAUUAUUCAUCAGUAUCGAAUGUUAACAUAAUGUUGGCUAAAAUAAUGUCAAUUAUUUACUCUUUGCUGAUUUUUAUUCAUAUGGUGCACUCCUUACCAACUAUCGCAGUGAGAGGAAAAUGCACACCUGGUGAGUUGGUUUUCGUUCAGUGUAACUUAUGCACGUGCAGCCCGAAAGGAGAGCCGAAUCAAGUCUGCGCGGAAAUGUGGUGCCCUCCGGACGCUCGGGUCAAGCACUUAUACCCCAACCCCUUUCAAAAAUUUUACCCCAACAGGUAAAACUGCUGGAAAUAUGUGUCCAUGAAAGUACAAUACAGUCGAAUACAGGGGCCCGAGGCAAACCUAGGAAUUCCCACUCCCUUGCAAUGGUAAUGACUAAUUUUUUUUAAAAUAAAAAAAAAAAAAAAAAAAAAAAACUUGCAACAUAUGACAUCGAAAUCAUGUACUUUUUUUCUUUUUUUUCAAAACUUGGUUGAAUGGCCAAUCGAACGCGGAAAAGCGGAAUCGGCGUCAUUUGCUGUGUUUUUAAAGGCCAAAAUUCUCUUAAACUGAGAGCUGACGCUUUGUUUUUGCCUUAUCACAUGUUUGCUCGAGUGAAAUGACCGGCCGUGGCAAUAAGAAUUGUAGGGAGGCAAAUUUCUCCUUGUGGCACUGUGUGAGAAGUCGGAUAAAAAAUCUAAAUUUCAUGGUUUAACGUGGGGUGUCCCAACGUACCAAUACUAUUCCAACGUUUCAUGAUAUUUAAUUUAUUUUCAUGUCGAUAAAACUCGUAAGGUCCCAUUAUGAUCUCAGCGCUUCAACCACCGAGCCUCGACUAAAGGGGGUGAAGACUCCAAUUAGCUCUUUCUCAAGGAUAAGUUUAGAUCGCUAAAAGCUCACAGAUAAUAAUAUGUCUGGGUGCGUUAUUCUUUUGUGCCCAUUUGUUUGUAAACCUGUCUUCUAAGAGAGUGGUGCAAAUCUAUGAAUUUUGAAUUACUUCCACCACAAUCCCCUUUUCAACCGAUACUUUCGUGUCGAUGGCAAGUUUUACUAUCUGGUUUUUUUUUUCUUUUUCACCUCACACAUUCUUGUGAACUUUUUAGAGGUUAUAAGAGUGAGGACACAAAUAAAGAGAGAAAUAAAUAUAAACACUGCAUUUUGUAUAUUCUUAGGUAUCAUAGUCGUCCGAUUUUUAAAAGGAUUCAUUCUUCUGUAACGGUUAAUAGAAUCUUUGAAGUUCAUAAUUUCUUUUAUUUGUUACCUUUAAAUUCAAUAUAUGCAUCUUCACAA